rnacentral:rRNA from 1 species
UACGAGGGGGGCAAGCGUUGUUCGGAAUUACUGGGCGUAAAGCGCGCGCAGGCGGCUAUCCAAGUCAGUGGUGAAAGCCCGGAGCUCAACUCCGGAACUGCCAUUGAAACUGUUUAGCUUGAGUAUGAGAGAGGUGAGUGGAAUUCCCAGUGUAGAGGUGAAAUUCGUAGAUAUUGGGAAGAACACCGGUGGCGAAGGCGGCUCACUGGCCCGAUACUGACGCUGAGGCACGGAAAGCGAUGGGGGAGCAAACAGGG